rnacentral:rRNA from 1 species
UACGUAGGGUGCGAGCGUUGUCCGGAAUUAUUUGGCGUAAAGGGCUCGUAGGCGGUUUGUCGCGUCGGGAGUGAAAACCUCGGGCUUAACUCGGGGCUUGCUUUCGAUACGGGCAGACUGGAGGUAUGCAGGGGAGAACGGAAUUCCUGGUGUAGCGGUGAAAUGCGCAGAUAUCAGGAGGAACACCGGUGGCGAAGGCGGUUCUCUGGGCAUGACCUGACGCUGAGGAGCGAAAGUGUGGGGAGCGAACAGG